AUUGAACGCUGGCGGCAGGCCUAACACAUGCAAGUCGAGCGGCAGCAAUGGUAGUUUACUAUCAGUUGGCAAGCGGCGGACGGGUGAGUAAAGUCUGGGGAUCUGCCUAAUGGAGGGGGAUAGCUACUGGAAACGGUAGGUAAUACCGCAUGAACUCUGAGGAGCAAAGGCUGGGAACCGAGAGGUCCAGUCGCCAUAAGAAGAACCCAGAUAAGAUUAGCUAGUAGGUGUGGUAAUGGCGCACCUAGGCGACGAUCUUUAGCUGGUCUGAGAGGAUGGACAGCCACACUGGGACUGAGAUACGGCCCAGACUCCUACGGGAGGCAGCAGUGGGGGAUAUUGCACAAUGGGCGCAAGCCUGAUGCAGCCAUGCCGCGUGUGUGAAGAAGGCCUUUGGGUUGUAAAGCACUUUUAGCUAGGAAGAAGUACGCAUUGUAAAUAGCAUAGUGUAUUGACGUUACUGGCAGAAUAAGCUCCGGCAAACUCCGUGCCAGCAGCCGCGGUAAUACGGGGGGAGCGAGCGUUAAUCGGACUUACUGGGCGUAAAGGGCAUGUAGGCGGUUCGUUAAGUUAGGUGUAAAAGUCCUGGGCUUAACCUAGGGAUGUGACUUAAGACUGGCGAGCUAGAGUGAUGUAGAGGGGGGUAGAAUUCCGGGUGUAGCGGUGAAAUGCGUAGAUAUCUGGAGGAAUACCGGUGGCGAAGGCGGCCCCCUGGAAAUAGACUGACGCUGAGGUGCGAAAGCGUGGGUAUCGAACAGGAUUAGAUACCCUGGUAGUCCACGCUGUAAACGAUGUCUACUAGGAGGUUGGUGCGCUUAAAGUGCUGACGUCUGUAGCUAACGCGUUAAGUAGACCGCCUGGGGAUUACGGCCGCAAGGUUAAAACUCAAAUGAAUUGACGGGGGCCCGCACAAGCGGUGGAGCAUGCGGUUUAAUUCGAUGCAACGCGAAGAACCUUACCUACUUUUGACAUCUAGAGGAGGGUACAGAGAUGUACCUGUGCUGUAAAAGGAACUCUAAGACAGGUGCUGCAUGGCUGUCGUCAGCUCGUGUUGUGAAAUGUUGGGUUAAGUCCCGCAACGAGCGCAACCCCUAUUCUUUGUUGCCAGCACGUAAUGGUGGGGACUCAAAGGAGACAGCUGGAGGUAUAACCCAGAGGAAGGUGGGGACGACGUCAAGUCAUCAUGGCCCAUAAGAGUAGGGCUACACGCGUGCUACAAUGGCUAAUACAAAGGGAAGCGAGAUAGAGAUAUUGAGCGAAACCCAAAAGUUAGUCUUAGUCCGGAUUGAAGUCUGCAACUCGACUUUAUGAAGAAGGAAUCGCUAGUAAUCGCAGAUCAGAAUGCUGCGGUGAAUACUGUUCUCGGGCCUUGUACACACUGCCCGUCACACCAUGGGAGUGGGUUGCACCAGAAGUAGGUAUCCUAACUUGCGAGAGGGGGAGCUUACCACGGUGUGAUGCAUGACUGGGGUG
rnacentral:rRNA from 1 species